rnacentral:rRNA from 1 species
ACGCAGGCGGUCUGUCAAGUCGGAUGUGAAAUCCCCGGGCUCAACCUGGGAACUGCAUUCGAAACUGGCAGGCUAGAGUCUUGUAGAGGGGGGUAGAAUUCCAGGUGUAGCGGUGAAAUGCGUAGAGAUCUGGAGGAAUACCAGUGGCGAAGGCGGCCCCCUGGACAAAGACUGACGCUCAGGUGCGAAAGCGUGGGGAGCAAACAGGACUAGAUACCCUGGUAGUCCACGCCGUAAACGAUGUCGACUUGGAGGUUGUGCCCUUGAGGCGUGGCUUCCGGAGCUAACGCGUUAAGUCGACCGCCUGGGGAGUACGGCCGCAAGGUUAAAACUCAAAUGAAUUGACGGGGGCCCGCACAAGCGGUGGAGCAUGUGGUUUAAUUCGAUGCAACGCGAAGAACCUUACCUACUCUUGACAUCCAGAGAAUUUAGCAGAGAUGCUUUAGUGCCUUCGGGAACUCUGAGACAGGUGCUGCAUGGCUGUCGUCAGCUCGUGUUGCGAAAUGUUGGGUUAAGUCCCGCAACGAGCGCAACCCUUAUCCUUUGUUGCCAGCGGUUCGGCCGGGAACUCAAAGGAGACUGCCAGUGAUAAACUGGAGGAAGGUGGGGAUGACGUCAAGUCAUCAUGGCCCUUACGAGUAGGGCUACACACGUGCUACAAUGGCAUAUACAAAGAGAAGCGACCUCGCGAGAGCAAGCGGACCUCAUAAAGUAUGUCGUAGUCCGGAUCGGAGUCUGCAACUCGACUCCGUGAAGUCGGAAUCGCUAGUAAUCG